CAAAUGGAAAUCUCCAUACCAUGUACAUACCAGGUUCGAAAGUCAUUUUCAGUCAUCCACUGCAAAGUGAGACAGAAAAACUCAUUUCUACUUUGUUAAGAUGGUGUCACCAACAUAAUAAGGGCUCACAGUUCUAGCUUCUCUCUAACACUCAAAUCCAAAAUUGAUUUUCUUUCCCAGUUUCUUCCCUUGAUUAUUCAUUACUUGGCACAAAAGAAACGUUCAACCUUUCUUCUUUCUCCCAAGAACAUCUUUGAGCAGAGAACACAGUGUAUCAUACAAACUAUCACACUGACUACAAUCUAACUGGAAACCAUGUGGUCCUGAAAUUUGCUGCUGUCCCUUCUUCUCUUUGCUAGCACCAUAUCCAAAAUUUACAAUCUGCUGGAAAAUAUUUAGAGUCCACAAAUUUGCUCCAGAGACACUCUGGUGGCAAGAAACCUCCUUGGAGAUAUAAUUCUAGAAUUCUCACAAAAUUAAACUCAUCUUUGGGAAACUUGUCAGCAUUCAGGCUGGGAGUAUCUAGGCAACUGAGAUGAAACACAAGACUGGUCAUAGGGCAGCCAGAAAAAGAUAAUAAGAAUGUAAGAAUCACUAAAAUAAAUCAGACCCACGAUCCAUUUGCCUGUGCAUCACUCUCCCUGUGGUACCAAUGAGAACAAGAAUUGAUUAAAGAUGCCCCUCUACAAUUCCUGAGUAUUGGUAACAUCAGGCAAUCAGCCUUUCCAGAAGACAAGAGGAAAAAGAGAAAACACCUCUGUUUGAAGCAGGAAAAACAAAGAAAAAAAAAAAGCAUCAUCAUUAGAACAGACUUAGGACAAAACAUAAUUUAAGAUGUUUAACAGUUGAUCUUGUGCUCAUUUGAAUCUGGCGGAUAUUGUCUUGAGCACUGAACUACUGAAAUCAAGAGAUAAACAAUGGAGAGAACUGAAAUUAAAAGUUAAAUCCUUG